UCAUGUUCACUAUGGAGGAAAACAAGAAGAUAGGAAUGCUAACUACACUGAUAUGGUUAACAAAUACUAUGAUCUUGCUACGAGCUUUUAUGAGUUUGGGUGGGGAGAAUCUUUCCAUUUUGCACACAGAUGGAAUGGUGAGUCUCUUCGAAAAAGCAUCAAACGUCACGAG